rnacentral:rRNA from 1 species
GAUGAACGCUGGCGGCGUGCCUAAUACAUGCAAGUCGAGCGAACAGAUGAGGAGCUUGCUCCUCUGACGUUAGCGGCGGACGGGUGAGUAAGACGUGGAUAACCUACCUAUAAGACUGGGAUAACUUCGGGAAACCGGAGCUAAUACCGGAUAAUAUAUUGAACCGCAUGGUUCAAUAGUGAAAGACGGUUUUGCUGUCACUUAUAGAUGGAUCCGCGCCGCAUUAGCUAGUUGGUAAGGUAACGGCUUACCAAGGCAACGAUGCGUAGCCGACCUGAGAGGGUGAUCGGCCACACUGGAACUGAGACACGGUCCAGACUCCUACGGGAGGCAGCAGUAGGGAAUCUUCCGCAAUGGGCGAAAGCUUGACGGAGCAACGCCGCGUGAGUGAUGAAGGUCUUCGGAUCGUAAAACUCUGUUAUUAGGGAAGAACAAAUGUGUAAGUAACUAUGCACGUCUUGACGGUACCUAAUCAGAAAGCCACGGCUAACUACGUG